rnacentral:rRNA from 1 species
UGAGGAAUUAUGCGCAAUGGACGAAAGUCUGACGCUGCGACGUCGCGUGGGUGAUGAAGGUCUUCGGAUCGUAAAACCCUGUCGAGAGGGAAGAAAGAGCGGGCGCUAAUAUCGCCUACUUCUGACGGUACCUCUGGAGGAAGCCCCGGCUAACUCUGUGCCAGCAGCCGCGGUAAUACAGAGGGGGCAAGCGUUGUUCGGAUUUACUGGGCGUAAAGGGCGCGUAGGCGGCUUGACAAGUCACUUGUGAAAUCUCUGGGCUUAACCCAGAACGGCCAAGUGAAACUGUCAUGCUAGAGUGCAGAAGGGGCAAUCGGAAUUCUUGGUGUAGCGGUGAAAUGCGUAGAUAUCAAGAGGAACACCUGAGGUGAAGACGGGUUGCUGGGCUGACACUGACGCUGAGGCGCGAAAGCCAGGGGAGCAAACGGGAUUAGAUACCCCAGUAGUCCCUGAGCGGGCUGGCAAGGCGCAU